GAUGAACGCUGGCGGCGUGCCUAAUACAUGCAAGUCGAGCGAACGGACGAGAAGCUUGCUUCUCUGAUGUUAGCGGCGGACGGGUGAGUAACACGUGGAUAACCUACCUAUAAGACUGGGAUAACUUCGGGAAACCGGAGCUAAUACCGGAUAAUAUCUUGAACCGCAUGGUUCAAUAGUGAAAGACGGUCUUGCUGUCACUUAUAGAUGGAUCCGCGCUGCAUUAGCUAGUUGGUACGGUAACGGCUUACCAAGGCAACGAUGCAUAGCCGACCUGAGAGAGUGAUCGGCCACACUGGAGCUGGGACACGGUCCAGACUCCUACGGGAGGCAGCAGAAGGGAAUCUUCCGCAAUGGGCGAAAGCCUGACGGAGCAACGCCGCGUGAGUGAUGAAGGUGUUCGGAUCGUAAAACUCUGUUAUUAGGGAAGAACAUAUGUGUAAGUAACUGUGCACAUCUUGACGGUACCUAAUCAGAAAGCCACGGCUAACUACGUG
rnacentral:rRNA from 1 species